rnacentral:rRNA from 1 species
AUUGAACGCUGGCGGCAGGCCUAACACAUGCACGUCGAACGAGUGGCGGACGGGUGAGUAAUGUCUGGGAAACUGCCUGAUGGAGGGGGAUAACUACUGGAAACGGUAGCUAAUACCGCAUACCAUCAGAUGUGCCCAGAUGGGAUUAGCUAGUAGGUGGGGUAACUGCUCACCAAGGCGACGAUACCUAGCUGGUCUGAGAGGAUGACCAGACAGAAUGAAACUGUGAGACGGUCCAGACUCCGACGGGAUGCAGCAGUGGGGAAUAUUGCACAAUGGGCGCAAGCCUGAUGAAGCCAUGCCGCGUGUAUGAAGAAGGCCUUCGGGUUGUAAAGUACUUUCAGCGGGGAGGCGUUACCCGCAGAAGAAGCACCGGCUAACUCCGUGCCAGCAGCCGCGGUAAUAC